CGGCCCAGGCCAGGCGCGGAACCGCCCGGGCGCCUCUGUCCGCGGCUGCGCGUUUGGCCCGGGGACCCCGCUGCUCCGGGGCGGCUCAGCUCUGCGGGCCCGGCGCUGGCAGCAGCUUGCCUAGGAGCAGGGCGGUGGCGCGAGUGGCCCCAGCGGGCCCUGGGGCAAGAACAGCUCAUCUUCUUCCAAACUGGCAAUGGCAUGAACAGGGAUGCAUGUAUGCAGCUAGACCCAAACACCCUCCACUGUUAGCAGCCCCCUGCAGCAUCAGCACAGACAGCGCACUCACACCCCAAUUGCCGGAUGCCUGGUUUUAUCCACUGAGCCUUCAAAGUCAUCCCAAGAAUAAGGCACAGCACUGGGAGAGAUGACCAGGGAAGAAUCCUGCAGUUCUUGAAGAGUUUCCCCCUUCUCUGGUCCAGAGCCUUGACCAGUGAGUGACCAGUGAGAGCUUGACUGAAGCUCUGGGGCCGGAGCUAGGGGUCAGCACCUGCUGCCCUGGAGUUGGAGCUUGCUUCCGUGCAGCUGGGGGUCGUCAGUGCCUGGGGCCAGCGCUUGCCACUGCACAGCCAGAGCUCGGGACUGGAGGCGGGAGCCAGCGCCUGCUGCCACACAGCUGGAACCAGGGGCCCAAGGCUGAAGCCCGGCAGCUGGAGGCAAAGGCUGUAGGGCUGGAGCGGGGCGGGGUCAGUGCCCACUGCUCCAUGGUCAGAGUCUGGGGCUGCACAGCCAGGCUCCUGAAGUCCCACUGCUAGAGCCUGCCACCCAAACUGCCUUCCCACAAGGUGGAUCAAGAACUCACCUUGCUCCUGCAGCGUUGUGCCCCAUGUGGCGGUGCAUCCAGGAGUAACAAGGAGGGCGUGGGAGGGGCCAAUGCUUUGCCCCCCCCUCACCCCCCACCAUCACCGCCCAACAGGCUUUCGUGGCUGCAUGAAAAGCCUGAUGGCUAUGCAUGCAGCCAUGAUAGCCAUAUUUGAGAAACAUUGGCCAGUAGCUGGCUACCAAACUUUGAAAUUUGAAGAGUGAAAAAAAUACAGUCAUUUUUAAAUGCUCAGGGAAGCAUAAAUUAAUUGAUUAUAUAAAAUAAGAGUUUGUCCUCAAAGACUAAUUGUAAAAUGAACUAUUUGCAUCCACCAUUGGAAGCAGAAGAACCACGUCUCCGUCCUGAGAAAAUCCUCUUGUCGAGGUAACUGAGUUAGCUUACAAUUUGACAGCAUCCCUUUGACUUUAUUAGCUAUUUCCAAAGAAUUCAUUCCAAACAUUAUAAUACAAAUAUUCUACUAUUUCACUUAAGAUGUUAGCCAACUUCUCUCUCUUCCUAGCUUCAGUAAUAUGUUAUGAUCCCUUCACUUAUAUUCUCCCUUUAGACAUUUUUUCUCCUUCUCUCUCACCUUUUUCCAGUGAAUCUGCGACUCCCAUUACUGGCUGCUCAGGGCAGUUUUCCUUCUUGCCCAUCAUGCAUCUGGAAUAAUUUUCAUUAUUUUACUGAAGGAAGGUCUGCCUGGCCUUGUUUAAACAACCAGCAAACCAUCUUUGUUGUCAAAGAAAAUUAAUACAUCUCCAGCAAGAAGAAACUGAGCUGGGAGAAACAUACUGACACCUCAUUGUCAUGUAGGCAUGAUCUGGCACUGGACUAUAAUGUCUUAUCUUACAAAGCAUAUCUAUUCAGUAUGUCACUUAGAAAUAACAUACAAAUCAGCUUGAGUAAAUUUAUGUCUUUUAGAGUAGUGUAUUUUCUUAUGGGAUAAGCUUUCUUGCCAUUAAACUCCAAAUAUAAAUGAAGAAACAGCAAACCCUUGUGUGAGCACUCCCAUUGAAGUCAACAGCAAAACUUUGAUUAGCUUCAGUGGGAACAAGGACUAGUUUCUCAGUUUCUACUCAGGUGUAUUUCUUGAAUUUAAACUAUAUCUAUCUCAUCAUAAUGUAAGCUAUACUGCCUUCAGUGUGUAUGCAUUUAUAACAGAUGUUAACAUAAGGUGGUGUAUGUACACAUUGGUGCCAGCACAAACCCCAUAGUUGAUGAGGAUUCUUUGCCUCUUAAUAAAAUUGUUACAUUCCUCUAGUAUUUGGGGAUUCGAAAUUCAUAUUCUUGGUGAAGGUGCUCUUUUCAGACACUCUUAUCAUAUCAUUUCCCCAUCCUAUAAGAAAAUAGUGUACAAAUAAUUUGACAUUGUCUUCCACACUGCAGAUACUAACCACCAGCCUUCUAGAAAUUACUGAAUUUGCUUUUGACAAUUAAUACAAAACACAAAAUAAUUAAUUUGAUUGUUAACAGAAUACAAAAUAAUAAAUGUGUUUAGC